GCCUGGCUGGAAGAAUUAUUGGACUCAGAAUCUCUAUUCAUACUUAGUAUUAUCGGCGAGAGCUCCGACUAGUGAAAAGUAGCUGACGGACGAAAGACCUUAGGAUGUGCCCAGGUACAGGGUAACCGAAAAAUUCUUCAUAGGCAAGAGCAAGCUCUCGAAUAUAGCACGCCAUAUCUACCUGUAAAUUUGGAUCUACUCGUUCUAAAACUCUUGAAAUGCAGUCUUUUUUCAUCUUCACAUCAUUGGUCAGAGGUAUACCCUUGAUCCCGCGUGUUUCCAAUGGAUAAGGAUCUUCUGGUGCCUCGAUUUUCGACAUUUGGAACUCUCCUAACCCAGGUAUAUGUACUAAACCAUUUACCGACAGUGGCAUUCCGCGUAGGUAGCCUGUCACUUCCAAGGUACCAUAAUUGUUAAAAGCGUCCUAUUGAACAGUAAUGGAAUAACUUUAAUUUUGCCUCGGGAGAUCCUAAGAAGCUAUAAUCAUACCAUGUUUUAUCAACAGCAACGUAUUUUUGUCAGUGCCAUGAAAACUAAAAUUUGGAAAGAAAGCCAUAUUUUCGUAGAAUCACUAUCCACUUUAAAUUGUAUCUAAAGAAUCCAUUGAUUAUUUCCUACAGUCUGCGAAUUCCCAUAACAUAAGUGAAUGUUAUUAAAUGAAAUGAUUGAUUUAUUUAAAGCUGUUGCUCCUCCGGCUGUCACUAGAAUAUUUUUAAUACAUAGAUAUGGGAAAAAAAUUAUAUCAUUUUCAGCAUGUGUGGAACGAAGAGACACCUAUUGCAGUUAGAGCAUGCUGUCAAAUCUCGUGAGAAAUAUUGUUAA